GAGAAUGCUUUGCACACACACACACACACACACACACACGGCGGGGGGGGGGAGUGCAAGGAGGGCUUCGCUCCCUCUCCCGCAUCCACCCCGUCGGUAGAGGUGCCCGAAAAGUUGCAACCCAUGUAGUAAGUCUGUUGGUUACCGUUUGGUCUGUGCGCAUUUGGUCCGUGCGUCUGUGUCCGUUUCACUCAGCCUGCUGUGUCCGUUUAUUACUGUGCGCAUCUGGGACGCUCCCUGCCGGCGCCAUGUCCGUUUCCAUCAUUUUUUGCCAUGAAGUAUUCCCACGAAAAAUUUAGGAAAAAUAUGUUGAAGUAGACAUUUCAAGGUUUUUUUUUAAUUGGAGGUGUAUCUCUGAAACAUAAUCUUAAAACAUUUUUUCUAAGAAUUUAAAAAUCCGUAUUUUUUGUCAGAAUGAAAAAAAAAUUUUUAAGUCUUGUUGAUGUUCAUAAUUUUUUUUUUUUCCACUAAAAGUGCUUGAACUGUUUUCGAUACAAACCACUUUCUAUAUUUUGGUUUUUCCCCCUCCAUGACUCCUAAUAAUGCAAUUUUAAUCAUAGAACACACGUAAAAAAACUUUCAUAAACCUCUGGGAUCCUGAAGACUUUAUGAACACUCAAACAAGUGCGAUUUCCUGGAAUUUAAACGGAUUUAAACAUUCGAGGUCUAAUUUUGUUCGUCAGAAUCUCUAGUUUUAGAAUAAUUACAUGAAAAAGCAUUUUAAAGAAUUGAAAAAAAAUUAUAAACAAAAAUAUGAGGAAAAGUUUGUGACAAAAUUGAAAAUUGUUUUUUUUUUUUCAUGAUUUGUUACCUUCGAUGAAAUUUUCCACCUAUUUCAUCUCACGUCGCGCACCGCGCUCUCGCGCGCUCCGCCGGAGCACCCGUCUCACCGAGCGCUCCCCUCCCCACGAAAUCAGACGCGCUGGGUAUUAGCGCGUACACCCUACGCUUAUACUCUUUAUUAAAUUUUAUUAUUAUUGCGUGCGUGAUUAUUACUCCCAGUGUCAAAGCUCAAAUCCAUCGAAUCAUGCCACGUAUAGUUAAAAAUUUCGUUAAAAGAGUGAUAUUCUUUCGUCACCUUUCUAUUUGCUAUUAACGACAGGGUGCAACCGCCACCCCUCAACUCCCUUGUUAAUUAAUAAUACUGCAAUCCGUCGCAGUCAUGCUAUAACUCUUUCACAUUAUUAACAACCUGGAGUAAUGUGAAUAUUUUUCAACCAUGCGGUUCACGCGUGACACCCUCGCGCUGCCGAAGAGUCGGUCCAGCCGCGGAGCGCGUGUACCAAGUAGGAUAGCAAUAGCUCGAGCAUUAUUCCAAUCGGGGAAGUAUGAAUGAGAUAGCAUGAGUAAAGUAAUUACGAAGGUAUGCGGUUUAAUUACUCCGCUCACAGAGGUGAUAGGAGAAAGGCGAAGGAAGCAUUCAAACGCUAACCACCCUGGCUACCUCUUGACCGAAGUUUAUAAUAAUCCGAAUAAAAAUUAAAAACCAUAAAAUUUCAAAAAUAAUAGCUAUUUGUCGCGGAAUUUUCCAUGGAUUUGAGCUUCCCUACACCCGCGUACCCCUAGGACCCCCUAGUUUUGGGGUAUAUAAGGAGCGCGAGAUCCUCAGGAAGCAGCAUUCUCGCUCAUAUAACGAGUCGCGCUGCCAGUAGGCAUAGACGUUACUCUGCAGAGAAGAAGUGCUAUCCGUGGAAUAGUUAUAAGCCAUCGCGCUCUUAUAUAAAUAAGUCACUACACUGCGCUAUUAAAUUCUUGAUACAAGAAGCAACCAGUGCGUAAGUAACAUCUCUUUUAUCUACAAACGCUGUAAAUUCACUCUUAUAAUUUGUCAAGUGUAAGCUCACUUUACUUUAUUUAAAAUAAAAAGUUCUCUUGUCGUAAAAUUCUGUUUAAUAUAACUAUUUAACGAAAUUAUAAAAUUUCUUACUUGUAUUGCGCGAGAAUUAUUAAAUUAAGUGGGGCAAAAUACGGGGCAAAAUCAUCAUCGGUGCUCCCAAAAACGAAACAAGCGACUUCUCUGAAUCUUCAUCCUGGAAGCAGGGCGCUACGACUCAGGCGCCUGCUUCCUCCCUGAACUUCAAGCCAGGGGCGCCUACCGGGGCGCUUAAGUUAGGAGGUGUCCAGGGGACAACAGGCGCCUAUUAAGGCGCUUUUUACCCCCUACGUCGUUCCUCCACCUAACUGUGCACCACAGGGCAGCCCAUAGGGCGCUCUCCGUCACAAACGCCUCAUCUUUCCUUGGCGUGGGAUUUGUUGCGCCCUCCCUGGGCGCUCCCCCCUCACGCUCUCUAUACCUUGUCGCAAAAUUGUACGCUCUUCCUCUCAUUAGCAUCCGAACAGUACCCACAAAAGAAAAGAGGUACUCUCCUUUUUUUUUAUUUUUGGCCUAAACUCAUUUCCUAAAGCACCACUAAGAACCGCGUCGUUCACGUGGCAGGCAGUAACUACGCGAAUAAUAACAAUAACUAUCAUUGAUCUCUCUAUCUCUCUCUCUCUCUCUCUCUCUCUCUCUCUCUCUCUCUCUCUCUCUCUCUCUCCCUCUGUUCACGUACUCUCGGUCCGCGUCCGUGUGAAACGGAACAAGACGGGUAAGAACAGAACCCGAGUCGAUCUCUCACAUACACUCCGUGGGAUGGUACGGGCUGCCCACUAGGGCGCUUAUCCCCCACACUCCCCUCCUUAUUCCGUGGGCAAUGGGCUCGCCCAUUUGGGCGCUUUAUCCCCACGGACUCAUACAAUUACAACUUGGCAGAUUGACUCGUUUUCUCAUCUAACCCAGCAAAAUUACCCCGAUUAAAACAUUUCAUAAAAACUAAAAGAAAGGGAAAUAAAUAUUAACAGAGAGAAAGAGAGGAAUUCAAAUAAAAGAAACGUUACACGAAUUACAUGACUCUUACCCAGGCCUCUGGCACUCGCUUAUAUUUUCAAGCAAAAAUGUGACCUCCUUAUUGUCCGAGAUUCGCUAGGGGCGCUGGUAGUAACAUAGCCCUCUAACCUAUUGCAGCGUGGUGCAACGCGUGAACACACGCAAGUGAUAAAUAGUGAUAGCAAGUGAUAGUGAUAAAUAUAUCUUGAUAAAUAGUGAACGUUUACAGAAACUAGUAAAACGAGAAGCAUGCCACAUUGCAUAGCUCCGGGAUGUACUUCCGGAUAUAAAUCGAAUUCAGAGAAAGUACAUUUUUUUAUUGUGCCAAAGGACGAAAAUAUAAGAAAAUUAUGGCAAGAUGCAAUUCGAAGAAAAAACUAUAGUGCGGGCAGGACAAUCUCUGUGUGAAAAACAUUUUAUGGCCCAAGAUAUAUUGUGGAAGCGUGAACUAACAGGUCCUGAUGGACAAGUACUCGGCGUUUCAUAUUAUAAAUAACCAAGGUUGCGGAAAGGCACCGUACCGUCACAAUUUCAUGGGCAGAAAUUACUGUGGAUAACACACUACUUCACAAACAGACACAAAUGGUACAUGAAAUAGUACAACAGUGCAAAGAAGAAAAUGCACAAGAAAUAGUAUAAAUAAGCCUAAAUUCUCAUUUAUAGAUUUGAUAGCUUGUACUACAUUGCAAUUACCAGUAAAUUGGUCUAGAUGUACUUUCAUCUGUAAUGGAACUAAAAUUGAAUCAUUUGUCAUGGUACUAAUGUAUAAAAAUAGAAAACAGUUUUGUCACUAAAAAUAUCAAAGAACUUAUUGUACAAGAAAACUUAUAUCUAACUAAUAAACUUAUAUCUAACUUAUAUCUACACUA